GACGAACCGUGCGAACGUUGUUCGGAUUCACUGGGCUUAAAGGGCGCGUAGGCGGAUCACCAAGUCCGGGGUGAAAUCUUUCGGCUCAACCGGAAAAUUGCCUGGGAUACUGGUGGUCUUGAGGGAGGUAGGGGCAUGCGGAACUUCCGGUGGAGCGGUGAAAUGCGUAGAUAUCGGAAGGAACGCCGGUGGCGAAAGCGGCGUGCUGGACCUCUUCUGACGCUGAGGCGCGAAAGCCAGGGGAGCAAACGGG
rnacentral:rRNA from 1 species